GUAAAGUAGAAAUCCUAAAGAUAAACAUUCUUUUCUCGAAAAGGAAAGAGUCCCUCCAAGGAUCGACAAAAUAUAAGAACCAAAAACUUCAAAAGUUGAAAAUAUUCGAUGCAUAUCUCGAGAAGAAAACUUCAAAGCCAAACUUAAUAUUAUCUGAAGUAAUUUCAAGAACAAAAAAGAUUUAUGUACAGAGUUAAAUCAGCUGAGAUCAAUCUAGGUGCCAUUUGCCAAUGCAAGAAAUGAAACAUAAAUGUAUGUACAAGACAUCUAUCUAAUAUAAACAAGAACCAACCUCUAGAAUCUCAUGAGUCCUCUUCAUAUUAUGUGAAGGAGGACCUUCAAAUCUCA
rnacentral:lncRNA from 1 species